rnacentral:rRNA from 1 species
AUAAGCUACUAAGAGCACACGGUGGAUGCCUUGGCGCCAAACGCCGACGAAGGACGCGGUACACUGCGAGAAGCUCCGGUAAGGGGUGUGCACCCGUAGAGCCGGAGAUGUCCGAAUGGGGAAACCCGCGUGGGGGCAUGCCCGCGCAUCGGCAGGUGAACACAUAGCCUGUCGAAGGGAACCCGGGGAACUGAAACAUCUCAGUACCCGGAGGAAAAGAGACGAUUCCCUGAGUAGUGGCGAGCGAAAAGGGAGAAGCCCAAACCUGGCUGCUUGCAGCCGGGGGUUGGAGGGCCAGGCAGGAGGAUGGCAGCACGAAGUCGAACGGCUCUGGAAAGGCCGGCCAAAGACGGUGACAGCCCGGUAGACGCAAGUGUGACCAUCUAGCCUGGACCCUGAGUACCACGGGGCACGCUAACCCUGUGGGAAGCUGGGGAGCCCACUCUCCAAGGCUAAAUACAUUUGGCGACCGAUAGCGGACCAGUACCGUGAGGGAAAGGUGAAAAGAACCCCGGUGAGGGGAGUGAAAUAGAACCUGAAACCGUAUGCUUACAAGCAGUCAGAGGGCGAUAAGUGCCUGAUGGCGUGCCUUUUGGAGAAUGAGCCAGCGAGUUAAUCUCUGUGGCGAGGUUAAGGGAGUGACACCCGGAGCCGGAGCGAAAGCGAGUCUGAAGAGGGCGAGCAGUCGCAGGGAUUAGACACGAAACCAGGUGAGCUACCCAUGGCCAGGCUGAAGCGAAGCUAACCCUUCGUGGAGGGCCGAACCUUUCAACGUUGCAAAGUUGAGGGAUGAGCUGUGGGUAGGGGUGAUAUGCCAAACGAACCUGGAGAUAGCUUGUUCUCCCCGAAAUAGCUUUAGGGCUAGCGUCGCGUGGUGAGUACGGGAGGUAAAGCACUGGAUGGGCUAGGGGCCUCACGGUUACCAAACCCAACCAAACUCAGAAUGCCUGUACUGUUAGAGCGCGGCAGUCGGACCACGGGAGAUGAGUUUCGUGGUCGAGAGGGAAAGAGCCCAGACCCGCAGCUAAGGUCCUGAAAUGCAGGCUAAGUGGCAAACGAGGUGGGAGUGUCCAGACAGCCAGGAGGUUGGCUUAGAAGCAGCCACCCUUUAAAGAGUGCGUAAUAGCUCACUGGUCAAACGCUCCUGCGCGGAUAAUGUAACGGGGCUGAAGUCUGCUACCGAAGCUCGGGACGGCGCGUUGAGCGUCGUGGUAGGGGAGCGUCCUGACAGCGAGGAAGCACAUCUGGUGAGGGUGUGUGGAGCGGUCAGGAGUGAGAAUGCUGGCAUGAGUAGCGAGAAACAUGUGAGAACCAUGUUCGCCGAAAGUCCAAGGUUUCCGACGGAAGGUCAGUCCGCGUCGGGUUAGUCGGGCCUUAGCCGAGGCCGGAAGGCGUAGGUGAUGGACAACCGGUUAAUAUUCCGGUACCAGCUGGUGGGAGCGAAGGAGGGACGCAGGGGGGAGAGCCAGCCUCUGAGUGGAUUGAGGUGCCAAGCGCGAUAGUCGAGGAAGGGGUGAGGAAAACUGCCCUGGAGACGAAAGCGUGACGGCGGGCCUCCGGGCCACAAGUGGCCAGCUCCUCCGUGCCGAGAAAAGCUUCUAAGCGACGAGCACCAGGUGCCCGUACCGCAAACCGACACAGGUAGACGGGUAGAGCAUACCCAGGCGAACGGGAGAACCCUCGUUAAGGAACUAGGCAAAAUGACCCCGUAACUUCGGGAGAAGGGGUGCCCCCUGGAAGGGGGGCCGCAGUGAAGUGGCUCUGCCGACUGUUUAACAAAAGCACAGGUCUCUGCGAACGCGCAAGCGGAAGUAUAGGGGCUGACGCCUGCCCAGUGCCGGAAGGUUAAGGGGAGAGGUCAAGGAGCGAUCCUGACGCUUUGAACCGAAGCCCCGGUGAACGGCGGCCGUAACUAUAACGGUCCUAAGGUAGCGAAAUUCCUUGUCGGGU